CACACUGCUCCAAGGGUCAGCUCUGACAGAAAGCCAAUAAUGAGCAGAGGAAGGAAGAGAGAGGGUCAGAGAACAAGAGCAGCUUGCUAUGUCUGCAUGUGCCCAGCCCUUUGCACUCCCGUUGCCAUGAAGGAAUGCAACAUCAUAAACACAACUUCCAGAUACUUCCUAUACUCCCGCACAUCUUAGCAUACUUGAACGAUCUCCUGGGGUGAAAACUUACACUGUUAUAUUGAAGUUGAAAACUGAUGACCUGAAUGGGAACAGGUAUGCUGUACCAUAAAGAAAGGACAGGCCACAUCCCCUGCCUCCAUGAAGAAUACAUCUGGACAACCAGAACUACAAUCUGAUCAACAAAAGAAAAAUCACAAAUUUUCCAGCCAACUUACACCCACUGGAUGUGAUUCUUUGAUCUUUUCUGAAUUAAGUCGAUCCCAUCCAACACACUGGU